rnacentral:lncRNA from 1 species
UAAGGAGUCUGAACCACCACAGAGGCAUCCUAUAGACAUAACUAAUGGUGCAGAGAGGACAAUGGCCCAGUUCGCAGCAUCAUCAAGCUUCUGAGUCGGGAAAGAUCUGAGGCUAGCCCCAGAAGGUCAGUAUCUGAGUUUACCUGAGAAGAAAUAUCUUGGACCAAGAUUAAGUCUCAUCAACAGUAAAGGAAUGCGCAAAACCACAAGAGAUGCAGAAAAAGCAACUGGCCACAGCAACACCUUGGUUUAUACACAAAUCUUCCCCUCACAGAUUUAAAGGCAAUAAAAGGUAAUGCUUCUCACCCAUACAUAAAAAGUACUUAAAUGUAACUUUGACAGAAUGUGUCCCAGG